rnacentral:tRNA from 1 species
UGUAAAAUAAGCUAAGAUAUAAGCUAUUGGGUUCAUACCCCAGAAAUGAAUAACAGAUUCUUUUACAA